UAGAAAGGGAAGUAAUUCUUCAUAGUCAGAGCUUAAAUCUGAAGCACUUUUCUGCCACCUUGCU
rnacentral:tRNA from 1 species